GAUGAACGCUGGCGGCGUGCCUAAUACAUGCAAGUCGAGCGAACAGAUGAGGAGCUUGCUCCUCUGACGUUAGCGGCGGACGGGUGAGUAACACGUGGAUAACCUACCUAUAAGACUGGGAUAACUUCGGGAAACCGGAGCUAAUACCGGAUAAUAUAUUGAACCGCAUGGUUCAAUAGUGAAAGACGGUUUUGCUGUCACUUAUAGAUGGAUCCGCGCCGCAUUAGCUAGUUGGUAAGGUAACGGCUUACCAAGGCAACGAUGCGUAGCCGACCUGAGAGGAUGAUCGGCCACACUGGAACUGAGACACGGUCCAGACUCCUACGGGAGGCAGCAGUAGGGAAUCUUCCGCAAUGGGCGAAAGCCUGACGGAGCAACGCCGCGUGAGUGAUGAAGGUCUUCGGAUCGUAAAACUCUGUUAUUAGGGAAGAACAAAUGUGUAAGUAACUAUGCACGUCUUGACGGUACCUAAUCAGUAAGCCACGGCUAACUACGUG
rnacentral:rRNA from 1 species